UAAACAAUACACAUCCAAACACGCCCUUACUAAAUCUCAUUCUUUCUCCCUUGCAAAUAAUUAAAGAUCGGACUCAUCACAUUUUGUAUACUUCUUGCGAAACAUGUUCCGAGACACAGGCUUUUCUUACAUUAAAUCCUGUUGGGUCAUCUUCAUUUCACUUGGAAAACAUCACCAUCUACAAUAAUUCUAUCAGUCGCACUUCCAAUUUGGUCAAAACCAAGAAUUGCUUAGGAACUGCAACCUGGGGGUUCUUCGAUUCAGCUUAUUAAUCGGUAGGAACUGAGGUUACUGUUGGUUCUCCAAGUGAAAUUGUGUUGUUGGAUAGCAUUUAGAGUUGAAGAACCGGGACUUUCUUUUACUUUUUGUUGUCCUAGGCAGGUUUUCUGUUUGGUCAGUGUGGAGGCUUUUGGAGUCGAAAUGGUGGCCAGUGAAAAGUUUACUCGAGUAGAUACUGUAGAGCUGAAGGAUGUUAUGUGCAGGAAGAUUGGGCGUCGAAGAGCAGAGAAAUACUUUGCUCAACUUAAAAAUUUCUUUUGUUUAAAGGUUGGAAAGUGUGAAUUUGAUAAAUCCUGUAUGCGAAUAUUGGGUAAAGAGAAUCUUUGCCUUCACAACCAGCUUAUUCGGACCAUCCUCAAGAAUUCUUGUGUUAGUGCAGUUUCCCCGUUGAGGGUUAGAGUACAAAGUCUUAAUUCAGUUCCUCCAUCUCCUCAUAAUGGUAGAUCUCUGGCAAAUAGGGAUCGGGGCAAGUUUCGUGACCGUCCAAGUCCUCUUGGACCUCUUGGAAAGAGUCAGCAAAGUGCAACUGAGCUACUUUCUCUUGGUAGCAGGCCUCCCGUUGAAGUUGUAUCUGUGGAAGAUGGUGAAGAAGUUGAGCAGGCUGCUGAAAGCCCGAGCAUUCAAAGUAGAAGCCCUUUUACUGCUCCUUUGGGAAUCCUAGUAAAUAAGGGUGCACGUAAAGCACUUUCUAGUGGAACUCAAAAGAAGUUUCAAGCUUUGACCUGUCAACAAACUUGUGAGCUACCUGAUGCUAAAUAUUUGAAGAAUCGUCUGGAGCAGAAGCUGGAGAUGGAUGGCUUUAACAUUUCCGUAGACUGUGCUAAUGUGAUGAAUAAUGGUUUGGAUUGUUACCUGAAGAGAUUGAUAGAACCUUGUAUUCGAUUGGCGGGUUCGAGGUGUAUAAAAGAGCGCCUUCCACAUAUAAUUGAUCAGAGAUUAACUGGUUUGAAGUCAACGUUACCUGUGACAGAGAGAUUUUUGGAAAAGCCAUCCAACUCCACAUAUGCUUCUCUUCUAGACUUUUGUGUUGUAAUGGAAUCAAAUCCAUGCAUACUCGGAGGAGACUGGCCAGUGCUACUUGAGAAGGCUUGUGCUUGUGCAUAUGAGGAAUAAUGUGGUAGUACUUCAAGCUGAGAUUCUGCCUGAAGCUCAUCUUAUUAUCAUUCCCCCUUUGUUGUCCUCCUGAAAGAUGCAACUGUUUAGCUCUAUCAUUACAACUCGCAGGUCAGAGAUACAGUUAUUGGGUAGGUGAGGUUUUGCUAAGGGAUGAGGAAUAUGGACUUAGGCACUUUGACUAGAUACAAAAGACAUCAAGGUUUAGGCAUUUUUAUGUACACAUGUUUUUUGAUGCAUCUGUGAUUCUGGACAAGGGAUCACCUCAUAAAUAGAUUGAUUUGAGCCUAAUAUAGUGUUGUUGACAAACAAUUACGAUUCCUUUGUAUUUUCUGUUCUUACUAUCUGAUCUUGGAACAGAAGGGGGAUAAAAGCAUCUGGAGGGCCUGAUACAGCUGCUAAUAACAGAAGAUUGGAUCGAUGGACUUGAUCCGCAAGCGAAUUGCUUGUCUUUUGUUUCAGGAUUUGCCAGAUAAUAAUUGCUGUGCAACACAUUUGUAUUCUAUUGUCAAUGUGGAAUGGAGCUUCAUGAAUUUAA